AUGUCUGUGCUGCAGUGCAGCCUCGCAGGAGAGGGAAGAAGAGGAAGGAGCAGGAGAAGGAGAAGAAGAAGGUGCUGUCUGUCCAUUUUUCCCGUCUCCUGAAAGAUUUCUGUUACAACACAUCCGAGGACUGCUCCUAAUGUCAUCCUCAGCCUGCUGGACCACGUUGGAAAGAGACGCAAGGCAUCUCACGGGAAAUGGAAAAGGGGGGCAGUAUUUCGACAGGCAGCUACGGCCUUUUGUCUACGCAGUGUGUGUGUGUGCGUGUCUGAGGGGACAGCACUGGCUCAGAACGGCAACCAGCAGCAAGAGAGUGCCUUCACAUCUUGCCUGCUCUCUUCCCCACUGACUGCUGUGGACCAACCUGCCUCCCACAAGCCUUUGCUGCACACUGCCCUGCCU